rnacentral:sRNA from 1 species
AGAAUGCGCCUUUCAGGCAUCCUCUCCCAAAAAACUUCCAUAGGCUGGCCUUCGGGCCGGCCUUUUUUUUGCCCUGC